rnacentral:rRNA from 1 species
GAGAAAAGAAACUAACAAGGMUCCCCCAGUAACGGCGAGUGAAGCGGGAAGAGCUCAAGCUUAAAAUCUCCAUGUUUACAUGGCGAAUUGUAGUCUAUUGAGGCUGUUGUCAGCAUAGCGAUCUGGGAAAAGUCCCUUGGAAAAGGGCAGCAUAGAGGGUGAUACUCCCGUCUUUGCUCAGAUUGUCUGUGUGUACGAUACGCUUUCUUUGAGUCGAGUUGUUUGGGAAUACAGCUCAAAGUAGGUGGUAAAUUCCAUCUAAAGCUAAAUAUUGGUGCGAGACCGAUAGCGAACAAGUACCGUGAGGGAAAGAUGAAAAGAACUUUGAAAAGAGAGUUAAAGAGUACCUGAAACUGUUGAAAGGGAACCGUAUCGUUUCCAGUGUUGUAUCCUAUGCAUAUUUCAUUGGCGGAGUAAUUUGCUGGUGCCCUGUGCAUGGGUGUGACGUCAGAGUCAGUUUGUAUGCUGCGGGAGAUGGUUAGUGAGGAGGUGCGUCACUUCGGUGAAAGUUAUACCUUGCUAUCUAGUUGCCGUGGUUGAGACUGAGGUGCCUACAACAUGCCCUGGGGUUCAGUGCUGCCUCGUUUUGGUGACUGCUUGGAUAGCUUGCUAUGUCUGUGGUUAAUCAGGGCGAUUGGUGGUGCUGAAAACCUCUGCUGUUCGGGACUCUGGCGAAAUGGA